rnacentral:rRNA from 1 species
UUAGAACGUCGUGAGACAGUUCGGUCCCUAUCUGCCGUGGGCGCUGGAGAACUGAGGGGGGCUGCUCCUAGUACGAGAGGACCGGAGUGGACGCAUCACUGGUGUUCGGGUUGUCAUGCCAAUGGCACUGCCCGGUAGCUAAAUGCGGAAGAGAUAAGUGCUGAAAGCAUCUAAGCACGAAACUUGCCCCGAGAUGAGUUCUCCCUGACCCUUUAAGGGUCCUGAAGGAACGUUGAAGACGACGACGUUGAUAGGCCGGGUGUGUAAGCGCAGCGAUGCGUUGAGCUAACCGGUACUAAUGAACCGUGAGGCUUAACCUUACAACGCCGAAGGUGUUU